AUUGCAGGGUUGCUGUGGUCCUAUUGUGAGUGUUCACUCGCAGAUGGGGAGGGCCCAGGGUGGCCGGAGGCAGAGGCCUCGUGUUGGUGGUCAGUACGAGUGUUAACUUGUAGCCGGGCGCCCAGAGAGGCUGGAGGCAGCUGCUUCUCCCGCGUGCGCACGUGAUUAUUGAAGUUUUGGGGCGGGGCCCCAGCGUGAAGCGCCCAGGGGGGCCCCGCCCUGUAGGAUUGCCCAUGUCCAUGUGGCCGUGUGGCCGUGGGGCCGUGUGUGUGUAACGGACUAAACAUAAUAUCUCGCCCGGCUGAAACGCGUUAUUGGUAAUGUAUUGCAUUCUCUAUUGCAAGGUAUCUCGCCGUAGCCAACAAAAAUCGUAUGAGCACAAUGCCUCCAUUGACCGAGGUCAAAGCCACAUCAACGCCUCUCGGGCUAAAUGUAAUCCCCAAAAUGCCGUGUAUCUCAUAAUCCAAUUCUGAGAUUACGGCGUAUGAUAACUUGAACACCCAGCUUGUGUUACCAUUUGCCUGCAUGGGCAUUCCGACUUGCGGUCUGCCGCACUGUCCAUACGGCAUGCACCCGGGAUGGAUGCAAUUCGC
rnacentral:lncRNA from 1 species